rnacentral:rRNA from 1 species
UUUAAUUCGAAGCAACGCGAAGAACCUUACCAGGUCUUGACAUCCCGAUGCUAUUUCUAGAGAUAGAAAGUUACUUCGGUACAUCGGUGACAGGUGGUGCAUGGUUGUCGUCAGCUCGUGUCGUGAGAUGUUGGGUUAAGUCCCGCAACGAGCGCAACCCCUAUUGUUAGUUGCCAUCAUUCAGUUGGGCACUCUAGCGAGACUGCCGGUAAUAAACCGGAGGAAGGUGGGAUGAUGUCAAAUCAUCAUGCCCCUUAUGACCUGGGCUACACACGUGCUACAAUGGUUGGUACAACGAGUUGCGAGUCGGUGACGGCGAGCUAAUCUCUUAAAGCCAAUCUCAGUUCGGAUUGUAGGCUGCAACUCGCCUACAUGAAGUCGGAAUCGCUAGUAAUCGCGGAUCAGCACGCCGCGGUGAAUACGUUCCCGGGCCUU